GUGAUAACUGGUGAAAUUUGAAGACGGAAAGUUAGUCAAAUGUUAAAGAACUGUGUGUGUAAAUAGUUUUAAAAGAACCAGUGAAAUAUGAAGGUAGAAAUUAAUGAAAGGUAUAAGAACUGUGUGUGUUUGUUGAAAUGAAGAAGAAGUGUGAAGAUUUUGAAAAGAACUAGUAAGAUUUGAAGGUAGAAAGUUAAUUAAAUGUAUAAGAACUCUGUGUGUGUGUGUGUGUGUGUGUGUGUUUGUGUUUGAAAUAAAGACCGAAACUUGAAAAUUGUUGAAGAUUUGUUAGCUGAUUGAGAAAGAAGUUUGUGUGUGUUUGAAAUAAAGAAGAAUUGUGAAGAUUUUGAAAAGAACUAGUAAUGUGUGUGUGUGUGUGUGUGUGUGUGUGUGUGUGUGUGUGUGUGUGUGUGUGUGUUUGAAAUAAAGACUCUGGGAACAAUUAGAUGAAAACUCUUGAGCAUUAUUGGCAUAUGAAUGAAAUAAGAAAGAGUUUGAGUGUUGUGAUUGACGGAAAAUAAUGAAAAGGGAUAAAGAAAAUGGGAAAAAGAUGCAAAAGAAUAAGAAAUGAAAGUAAAUGUGGAAAGAAAAAUGAAAGAAAAAGCAAGAAUGAAAAAAAAUGAGAAAAACCAAAAUUAAAGAAAGAAAAAGAAAGAAAAUCAAAAUGAGAAAAUAAAAUGAAGAAAGAAGAGAGAAGAAAGAAAAUGACAAAAACAAGAAAAAGAAGAAGAAGAAGAAGGCAAUGCUGGUGUGAAUAUCCUGCCCUUCCCCCCUUCCUGGUGACCUAUUGGUGGAGCGUGACCUGCCGUGACUCGAGAUGGUGCCACAUGACGAGAGGGAAGCCUGGAGGUUGUGUGCGACAGUGUGUAGGGGCGGCCACCACCACCACCACCACCACCACCACACACACAACACAACACAACACACCACACCAUCACAAAACACCCCACACUCUGCCACACCACCACCACCACACUACACCACAAAACACCACAUCAUACCCUGCCUCCACCACAUACUGCUAUACCCUAUCACCACCACAACACCCUAGCACACCACACCACCACCACCACCACCACCACCACACCCAGCCAAGCACCACCACCACAUCCUAGAGGCCAGCAUAUGCCUAGCCUGCCACCCCCACCCAGCCUGUCAUUCCCCCUGGACCAGCAUCUCCCCCUUGGACCAGCAUCUCCCCCCUGGACCAGCAUCUCACUCCCCUGGGCCAAGACAGUGCAAAUCAACAGCAUUUUUCUCUCUUCUCUUUUAUGUUUAACGAGAUUUCAGCGAGAUAUUAUUAUUUUUUAUUUAUUUAUUAUUUUGUGUGUUUUUGUUGAUGCUGUGAACUGCCCUUGCCUCAAACCUUGCCCGUGUGUGUGUGUGUGUGUGUGUGUGUGUGUGUGUGUGUGUGUGUGUGUGUGUGUGUGUGUGUGUGAGGAAUAAGCUACCUCCUUAGUUCUUAUCAGGUCAAAAACAGUAUGGUAUUAGAUUAUGUAUUUUAAUAGUUUAUUCUCUCUCUCUCUCUCUCUCUCUCUCUCUCUCUCUCUCUCUCUCUCUCUCUCUCUCUCUCUCUCUCUCUCUCUCUCUGGUGUUCCUUAAGUGGUUUGGUGUCCCUCUCUGUUUGUGCGGUGAAGUGAGGAGAGUAGAUUUGUGUAUCGUUUGUGUUUUGAAAGUGACGGCAAUACACGGAUAGCUUCUUCUUGACCCCAUAACUCUUCAUUUCACCCUUUGCCUUUGUUUCUAUGGAGUUGUCUUGUUGUGUCUUAUUGGCAAACUUCAUAUAUCAUUGUCUUAUCUUUGCGUCUAUGGCAUUUUCUUGUUGUUUUACUCUUUCCUAACUUCCUUAAUGGCUAAUUCACACUUUUACACUUCUUGCCAAUGUUUCCGUGGUAUUAUUUUGUUAUUUGACACAUUCUUCACCUUUAUGACUAAUUCCUUAUUUUAUCCUUUUUCCUUAUUUCACUCAUUCUUCACUAUGGAAUUCUCUUUGUUUUCUUUACUCAUUCUUCACUUAAUGGCUAGCCUCUUGUUUUCAGUCUUUUUAUCUUUCUUUCUAUGGCAUUUUCUUGUUAUUUCACUCUAUCUUUACUUUUUUCAAUGUCUAACUUCUUAUUUCAUGCUUUUGCCUUUGUGUUUUCUAUAGCAUUAUCAUUUUUCUCUUUCUUUAUGGCCGACUCCCUUUUUUAUCCUGUUACCUUUGUUUUUAUGGCAUUUUCUUGUUAUUUCAUUCUGUCUUUACUUUCUUAAUGUCUAACUUCUCUUUGAUCCUUUUUUCCUUGUUUCUUUGAAGUUAUCUUGUACCUGACCGUUCUUCACUUCCUCAACUUAUUCUUUUGUCUUUGUUUCAGUGGAGUUACCUUCCUUGACUCAUCCUUCACUUAACUUAAUCUUUAUCCACCAAGGAAGUGUUUUCUUUUUUCUUUUUCUUUUAUUUUCAUCUUAUUUUGAGGUCAGGAAGUCUUAUUUGUUUAUAGUUUCUCGAGUUUAUAUGAGGGAAUGUGAAGAGGUGGCUCGGGAAGGGAUAAAGUCAAUAUUCUCUGCUUUGUAAACUACUAAGCGAACUUGUUAUGUUUUGAAGAAGUGUUUCAUUUUCACUCACAGCCUAAAGAGUCUAUCAGUAAUGUUCUAAGCUCACAAACACUGAAACUGACUAACUUUUACCCCCAAGAACUGUUUUUAUUACAAAUUCUUCUUAUUUUCUCAGUUCACAAAGAUUCAAGCUAACUUCUCCCUCAGUAACCCCAGAUUAGAGUCUAUCAGUAAUGUUCUAAGCUCACAAACACUGAAACUGACUAACUUUUACCCCCAAGAACUGCUUUUAUUAUGAAUUCUUCUUAUUUUCUCAGUUCACAAAGAUUCAAGCUAACUUUUCCCUCAGUAGCCUCAGAUUAGAGUCUAUCAGUAAUGUUCUAAGCUCACAAACACUGAAGCUGACUUGUUUUCACCCCAAGAACUGUUUUUGUUAUGAAUUCUUCUUAUUUUCUCAGUUCACAAAGAUUCAAGCUAACUUUUCCCUCAGUAACCCCAGAUUAGAGUGUAUCAGUAAUGUUCUAAGCUCACAAACACUGAAGUUGACUUGUUUUCACCCCAAGAACUGUUUUUGUUAUGAAUUCUUGUUAUUACUUUUCUCAGUUCACAAAAAUUUCAAGCCAACUUCUACUCUCACUCAUUAUUAACCCCAGAUGUAUAUGAAAGAGUAAGACCAUAAACACUAAAGCUAACUUAUUUUUACUCGUUUUUUUUUUUUUUUUACUUGUCAAGAAUUAUUAUUAUUUCAAUUUACAAAGAUUCAAGCUAACUUUUCCUCUCACUCAUUAGUAGCCCAAAAUAUAUAGGAAAGAGUUUAUCAGUAAUGUUCUAAGCUCAUAAACACUGAAGCUGACUAUUUAUAUACUUGUUUUGUUGUUAAUAAUUCUAGCAAGCUAUUUUUCUCAGCUCACAAAGAUUCCAGCUAGCUUUUUCUCACAUUCAUUAGUAACCCAAGAUAUAUAUUACUCCAUUUUUCACCCAAUAAACUCGAUAAUUAACUUCUUUUAUGCAUUUAGGAAGUUUUUUUUUUCUUUUUAUAUUAUUCUUUGGUCAAAAAUUAUCGAAGUUAUUUUCUUGUUUAACUUCAUAUCUAUUUCUUCCAUUUUCACCUAAUAAACUCAUUAACUAUCUUUUUACACAUCUAGGAAGUAUUAAUUUUGUUUAACUUUUCAUUUUUAUCUAAAUUAUCAAACUUAUUUUCUCACAUCUAUAACUUCCAUUUAUUCCCCCCAACAAACUCUCUAAUUAACUUUACACGCACCUAGACAAUAUUUUUAUCUUAUAUUUAACCUCAACCAAUGCAUGACCUCUUAGCCGACAGACACGCAGAUGUACAGACACAAGGGACCCCCAAUGACGCAUGUUCAAAGCCAGUUUUUUCUAUUUACUUUAAUUUACACGUAAGGAAAUGUCUUUGUCACCCCUGCCACCCCCCCAGCACCCAACACAACCACUAAAACCCCACCCAUGGCCUGCCCUAGACUGGUUAGCCUCCUGUGUGUGUGUGUGUGUGUGUGUGUGAUAACCAUAAGGAAACUAUACAUGCAAAACUCUGUGUGUGUGUGUGUGUGUGUGUGUGUGUGUAGUAAGCCAAACUGAUGCAAGGUUACUGUGUGUGUGUGUGUGUGUGUUGAAGGACGGUCUCUUGGCAGCCUUAGAAAUAGGAAAUGUAUGGUAGGAAGAAAAUGUUAUGUGCGUACUGUAGAUUAAAUAAAAAAAAAAAGUAAGUUGUCUUUUGUUACUAUGUACUACUAUUACUACUACUACUACUACUACUGGUGUUCUAGAUAUAAUAUGCAUUAGUGUGUGUGUGUGUGUGUGAGUGUGAGUGAGGCGGGGAAGGGAGCUGAGUGACCCAAUAUUCCAUGACUUUUUGGUGUUUUGUUUACCAUUAUGGUGUACGUAUAGUAACUGUGGUCGCUGUAUUUUUUUCCUAAUAAAAAUUUCUUUUGC